CUGCAAUUUAAAUAGGCAUGCAAACACGGUGUGUGCGUCUAACACCAGUGCUAUUUCAUCAUAAUUUAGCACGAGUCUGCUGGUGCAGGUGUGGUCACGGA